AAUCAGGUGAAAACGAGGCUGAUCACUUUUUUCAGUAGCUUGGUAGCAUUUUUUAACCAACUCAUUUUGGCGAGCAGCUAUCAAAAAAUCGUCCCGACGAUCGAGCGACUAGCCUAGACAAUACAUACAGUACACUAGUGUGAAGUCGGUGAGUUUUUGUGAUCAUUUACGUACGCAUACAGAGAGACGGUAUAGUCAACGUCAAUUCAAUCAUGGAGGAAUAAUUCAAUUGAAUUAAUAAACGUAUCAGUCCGAUGACUUGUUUGUUUAUAAUUAGGCCUACACCUAUGCCUAGGAUAGCACAGUCAGUGUCCACCCAUCAGCAGUAGUGCACUCCUGUCCGGGACACUGCUCCAGUCCCGCAGCAGAUGAGUUCGCACGCAGCCUUAUCCAGCUGACGGACAAUGCGAUAGGCCGAAACAUGACACUCUCCUCACAUAGGCAUUUGCCAGUCGCCAUGAUGAGACAAACAUACCACAACAUUUGCCAUGAGUACAACUACCCAACAUUGGCAUCUACGACAGAAGGUGGUACAAAGCAUACAAGCACCCAGCAAGACCGUCGUUAGCAAGAAACACUGGUUGUUUGCUGAAACUUGUAAUGAAAGCUACACACAAUUUAAGGAGCAAAUGACUGGCUCAAAUGGAUGUGAUGCAAACAAUUCCAUCUGUGUGGACAUAAAAUAAAAAAUAAAUAAAAUGGACAUGUCCAAUCCAUGGUUAGCAGAAGGUGGCGAUACUCGGAGCUCUGCAGCAAGCGAUUGAGGCCAAAAUAUUUCAAAAGAAUUAAAUUAAAAUGAUUUAUCUAGUGAUUUUUUUUUCUGAAGAUAUACUGAAAUGCCACACACUUAAGUUUUUGUUUUUUACGCAUCUGGUUUAUAUUGC